UACGGAGGGUGCGAGCGUUGUCCGGAAUCACUGGGCGUAAAGGGCGCGUAGGCGGCCUGAUAAGUAGGGGGUGAAAUCCUGCGGCUUAACCGCAGGGCUGCCUUCUAAACUGUUAGGCUCGAGCACGGUAGAGGCAGAUGGAAUUCCCGGUGUAGCGGUGGAAUGCGUAGAGAUCGGGAAGAACAUCGGUGGCGAAGGCGGUCUGCUGGGCCGUUGCUGACGCUGAGGCGCGACAGCGUGGGGAGCAAACAGG
rnacentral:rRNA from 1 species